AGAGUUUGAUCCUGGCUCAGAUUGAACGCUGCGGCAUGCUUACACAUGCAAGUCGAACGCGAAAGUAGGGGCAACCUGCGAGUAGAGUGGCGAACGGGUGAGUAACACAUCGGAACGUACCCAGGAGUGGGGGACAACCUCGAGAAAUCGAGGCUAAUACCGCAUACGUCUGAGGGAGAAAGCGGGGGAUUCGCAAGGACCUCGCGCUCAUGGAGCGGCCGAUGUCGGAUUAGCUAGUUGGUGGGGUAAAAGCCUACCAAGGCUACGAUCCGUAGCUGGUUUGAGAGAACGACCAGCCACACUGGGACUGAGACACG
rnacentral:rRNA from 1 species